rnacentral:lncRNA from 1 species
UGCUCUUGACUGCUGAACUCUUUCUCCGGCCCCUGUAGCUGCUUCUCAGAUUGCAUAAAGAUCAUUGUCACCAAGCAGAGCUGAAUAGAGAGCAACACAAGGCGCAAGCUUUAAGCUGUUCCAGGCUUUGAACCGUGUCUACUCUCCACCUCUCAUCAGUGUUGCCGUUAUCCUGAGCAUGGGUCUUGCCCUUCUACCUCAAGAGCAUCGCCUGCCACCAGCUCGAAGACACGGGACAAUCUGGAGCUUCAAACCCAUGUGACAGUCUACUCUGGUCUGGACCUCUGUCCAUUCUCUCUGCUCUAACACAGAGUUCUAGAAAAUAUGCAAUUCUGUAGAGACAUGGUUACCAGAAAAUGGAGCAGCCUGGCUCAUUUAAAAGUCUUGCAGUGAUAAAAUGCUCGGACGGAAGCAACAUGGAGGAGACAGGGUUUGUUCUAGCACACAGCUCUGGUGUGGAACUGUGUGGAGAAGCCACAGGGGACUUGGAGGCAAGCCGGGAGAGAGGGAGGAGAAAGAGAUCGCCAUGAUGGGGAAGAAGGAAGAGGAGACCUAAAGGCCAGCUGACAUGACUUUGGGUCCCUAACCUGCAACUCAGCACUCAGUCCAUCAUGGGCUUUGCUAGUCUCUGUGACUUCUCCAGGGCAGGAAAGUGACAGGUUUCUGCGCAAGGGAGCCCGAGGUACCUGGUUCAGGAUGGAGAGGGCACUUGAGAGGCGUCAAAAGCAAGCACAGUUAGAGGACAUCAGCGAUGUUAAAACCCCACGAGGGUCAACAGUAGCCCAGGCAAAAUAAAGGAGCCUGAAGUGGAAAAACAGAAAUGGAACAAGACGUUUGUUCUGGAGCACGUGAGAUUGUCCUUCUAAGACAUUUCCAGAAGUAUUCAAAGGAAGAUUUAAUGGGAAAUCAUUAUGCAAAAGAGUCAGUAAUAUAUUUUAGUUUCAAAAAGUACGGAGCGUGACGCCUGUCAAUUAUACCUUCUGCAAAGGUGAGUGGCGGUUGUCCUUGCUGUUCCAAAAUGCAAAGAGAAACAAACAAACAAACAAACAAGCAAACCAGCUACUCCUAUUCCGCACUCCAAACACCAAGCAGAAAUGCUUCUGGGACAAACUGAGCUUCAUUCUUUAUGAAAAUGAAAACACUUCUUUCUGUGCACUAGGAAAAUGUUCUGCCUCUGAGCUGCAAAACCAGCACCAAACUUGAAAAGUUUGUGCAUCAAAGGAAAAAGGCAACCUACAGGAUGGGGGAGAAUAUUUGCAGGACACAUGUCCUGGAAGGAAUACAUAUUUAGACUGAAUAAAAUGAGUAAGAGGAGGGAUAGGGAGUUCGUGUUCAAUGUUGAGAGCUUGGGACAGUUGAGAAAACGCUCCGGAGUGUUCUGCAGAUGAAUGAUGGUGACGACUGCAUCAGUGUGAAUGUCCUUAACGCCGUCAAAAAUUGGUUAUAAUGGCAAAUUUUAUGCUACAUAUGUUUUACUACAAUAAAAAUGCCAGGAAAAUCUAACUGCUCCAAAUCCUGAAUUUAUUAACCCAAUAAAUUAGGAGAUGGUUAUUGACCUAUAAAUGGAUUUGUCAAUUUUUAAAAUGAUUUCCUUUAAAUUGAAUUCUUUCCUAGAGCUUUAUUGUCUCUUCACAAACCAUUAAACACUUGUUAAAGUGUUCAGAGAGGGCUGAGAUGGAGGAGGAAGUGAAAACCAAACAAACAGAUGAGGGACCUUCCCCAAAUGAUGUCUGCUAACAGGCUUCUUGGGUAUUCUAUUUAUAUAGAUUUUACAAGUGUUUUAUUUGAGAGGAAAAAUCCCUAGACCUUACAUAGUACAAUGAACUUCUUAUGCCUGUCAGCUAGAUUUAUUAAUUUUUAACGAGGUGUAUUACUUUUAAAAGCUAUCUAUUUACUAUUGGGGGAGGGAGAAGGACAAAGGACAUCUUGCAGAAGUCUGGUCUCUCCUGCUAUGUGGGUUCUGGAGAUAGGAAAUCAGGCAGGUUGUCAGGCCUAGAAGCAAAGGCCUGUCUGCACUGAGCCAUCUUACUUGUCUUAUUUUGUUACUUUUGAUGACCUAUUUUAGACAUCACUAUUCUAUAGCCCUAAGUAUAACUUCAAGUAUGUAUCUUCCACAAUGACUUUAUGACCAUGAAAUCAAUUCAAGAAAUUUAACAUGUAUGCAGUUCUAUCCAGCGUACAUACAGAUUUCUCAUCCCCCCUUUUACUGUAGUUUAUAGAAAAAGCAAUUCUCUUCCAUAUCUAGAGUUUGACAAGGAAUAUGCAUUGCAUUUGGUUUCUGUGUUCUUUAAUCUCUUGUUGUACAGAACUUCAACCUUUCAUGACAGGUUGAACAAUUUUGGAUCAUACAGGCUGUCAUGGUUUGAAUAUGUUUGGCCCAGGGAGUGGUACUGUUAGGGGUGUGGUCUUCUUGGAAUAGGUGUGUCACCGUGGGCGUGGGCUUUAAGACCCUCAUCCUUAGCUUCUGGAAGUCAGUCUUCCACUAGCAACCUUCAGAUGAAGAUGUAGAACUCUCACCAUCUCCUGCACUAUACCUGCCUGGAUAUCGCCAUGUUCCUGCCUUGAUGAUUAUGGACUGAACCUCUGAACCUGUAAGCCAGCCCCAAUUAAAUUUGUCCUUAUAAGAGUUACCUUGGUCAUGGUGUCUGUUCACAGCAGUAAAACCCUAACUAAGACACAGGCCAAUUACAGAAUGUCUCUUUUUGGUGUGUGCAGUGUUAAAGUUUGAAGCACAAGCCUAAUGCUUGUUAGACAAGCACUCUACCGCUGCUCUACAUCAGCAGCUCAGUGUGCCUCUUGUCUUGAUGGGCUCAUUGUUUUUUAUGACCCAGUGCAUUGGGGUGAGCAGCUCACACAGGUACGAAGGGGUCCCUCUCAGAGCUUAACAUCAGGGAACUCAAUGUUGGUUUGUCUGUUCUAUUUCAGCUGAGCUAGUAUCUGGCAGUUCCCCACAACCCCCAUCAAGUUACCACUUUUUUCUUUGUAAUUGUAAUUUGCAAAGAAAUAUUUGCAAGAUUAAGUAAUAGACUACACAACGUGUUUUAGCUUCCACUGAGCAUUCAGCCUGAACUGUUUUAUAAAGUUAUGAAAUGAUAGAUUUCCAACUUAAUAAUUAUUUUAAAGACUUAUUUUAUUUUUAGUUCUGCAUGUAUGCCUGUGUGUGCACGUGUGUACCUAUGUAUCUGUAUGGUUAUGUGCACAUGAAUGCAGAUGUCCAAGGAGAAGAGGCCAGACACAUUGGAUCCCUGGUGCUCAAGUGGGAGGUGGCUGUCAGCUGCUGUAGGAAGGUGAUGGGAACUCAGCUUGAGUCCUUUGCAAGAACAGCAUGAGCUCUUAAACACAGAGCCACAUCUUCAGUCCCUCUCUUAUUUUUUUAAAAAUUAUUCUCUCUCUGUGUAUGUGUGUGUAUACAGAGGUCAGAGGAUCAUUUUUGUAAAAUUAGUUCUCUCUACCUUUUUUUGUGGGCUCUGGGGACUAAACUCAAGUUGUUGGGAUUUUGUGACAAGUGCUGUAUCCACUGAGCCCUCUCACAUGCCCUUAAAUGUUAUUUUAAAUAAUAGCAAAUGAGUACGUUCAAGCAUACGAGAAUAAGCAUGUCCUAUUGAUUUGAAUAUGCAAAAGUAUGCCAAUUUUUUAAAUCUCUAUUACCAAGUGGACAAGUAUUCCAUUUUAUCUCCAAAAGUAAAGAUUUCUUUUAGAUACAGUCAUGUGGAUUAUACAACUUGACUGAAGCCAUGUCUCCAAGAUACAUACCUAGAGGGUAAAGGGAAUGCUUUAAAGGAGCGUGAUUAUGAAUAUCCAAGCUGAAAAUAAACACUAAUUACUAACAAAAAGGAUUACUGAGAAAAAUAUGGGUUGGUUUUCAGUACUUGACUCUGUAAAGUUAUUUCUUUUCUUAUUUAGUUUUUAUUCAUAAUCAUAAACUUAACUUUGCCAUCCAGCUAGACUUGAAGGGGAAUGAGGAAAAUAUGGAACCCAAAGAACUUGAGCAGAGAUUACAGGGUAUUUCAAGCAGAUGGGGUAGGGAUGCUCUCCUGCGCUACAGAAGGAAUGGUUGGAUGGGUAAAAUGCCUGCAAGUCAAAAGAAAUUAGAGUUAUCCACAGUCGGAAAUGGUCUUGCUGGUCUUUCCAUUCCUGGACCCAAAACACUCCAUGGCUUCCACAAUGUUCAUGCCUUCUUUCACCUUCCCAGACACCACAUGCUUGCCAUCCAGCCACUUAGUCUUGGCAGUGCAGAUAAAAAACUGGGAACCGUUUGUGUUGGUCCAGUAUUUGCCAUGGACAAGAUGCCAGGACCUGUAUGCUUCAGGAUGAAGAUCUCAUCCUCAAAUUUCUCUCCAUAGAUGGAUCUGCCGCCAGUGCCAUUAUGGCAUGUAAAGUCACCACCCUGGCACAUGAAUCCUGGAAUAAUUCUGUGAAAGGAGGAACCCUUCUAGUAAAAUCCUUUCUCUCCAGUGCUCAGAGCAUGAAAGUUUCCCGCUGUCUUUGGAACUUUGUCUGCAAACAGCUGGAAGGAGACUCUUCAAGGGCUCGUCAUCGGCCGUGAUGUCAGAGAACACGGUGGGGUCGACUGUGGCUACAGCAAGAGGACCAACGGUACUGUUGCUCUAGCUACAGGAAUAAUCCUGGGCAGCACUUGUUGACCUUGGUCACUGUCAAGGGAAGAUCGGCUGUUCCCACUGAGGGCAUCUUGAUGGAUUAAGGUGAUCAGCUGAUCAAUGUGAGGGGACAGAUGGGAGCUAGGAACUGUCUCGGUACUGAGUCAUUUUUCAUCUAAUGUGCAAGAAACCCAAAGAGCACAUCAAACAGCGAACUACGCCUAAGCUAUCCAUGUUUCUCCUGCUUCUUCUGAGAGGGUGAUUUACACGUAGCUCAACACUCGAGUGUUGCAGUAUCGAGUGACUGCAACCAAACAAUGGAACAUGCAUCGUGCCUGUUGACAGAGCCUGCAGUUGGCUUGGAACCGGGACCAUGCUGCAUUCGACAUCGUUCCUGGUGGCUGACUUGUUCCCAUAGAAUUAAAUGCUAGGCAUCCAGAAGCUGACUGUGCAUCUGAUGGGCUCACUAACAUUCAGGAACAGGUUGGCCUCAGACUUCAUCAAUGGAAAGUGUAGGCAUAGGACAAAAAAAAGAGCACGUUUGAAAGACUACAUUUUCAUGAAAUUGGAAAUGCUACAUGCAAGCUGCAGAUGCUGAUUGCAGAGUCAGAAGACAUGGCCGUCAGUGUUAGGACUCUGCCUUAUUCUGCUAUUUCUCCUUGACGACCUACAGUUUGCAUUGUGGGUGGCAUUCAUUAACGAGGGCAGUAAAAACAUGGAGAAAACAUUGCAAGCUCUCCUUCGUGUUUCGCUCACUGGCCAAGUAGCUAACCAACUAGGUGUUCAGGCUCCCAUGUGUCUCAAUAUGAUGUGGCUCCUUCCAGUAGCAACCAUCCUGAGCAGAGACCUUUGUUCUAAUUUAAAAAUUAGACAUGAUAUAGAGCUUACCACACAUUUUUCCCCCUGAAGAUUAAAGAUCUUCAUGAAGGUACUGGCUUAAAAGACAUCAACCCCAAGCCUUUCGAAGGAUAUGCACUUGAGAUUGCCAUACUCGAUGGUGCGUCCAAUUAACUUAGAAAUACCCUUGACAUUUCUCAUCCGUGAAGAGAAGCUUUAGGUGACAGUUUUCAUGGUGUGGGUACUCUCGGUGCCUAAUUUGCUUUUUUUUCUUGUUUUCAAGCCUGAAAGGGAAAUAGCCUUGGCUUUCAGCUCUGGAGCGCGAUGCCCUCCUUACGAGUAUUCAGCUACUGUCUGAACCAUUGUACUUGCCUUCCCCUCCAUACCCCUUUUUCCCCAAAGUCCCGUUGAUAGCUCAUU